rnacentral:rRNA from 1 species
UGGGGAAUAUUGGACAAUGGGCGGAAGCCUGAUCCAGCAACGCCGCGUGAGGGAUGACGGCCUUCGGGUUGUAAACCUCUUUCAGUACCGACGAAGCGAAAGUGACGGUAGGUACAGAAGAAGGACCGGCCAACUACGUGCCAGCAGCCGCGGUAAUACGUAGGGUCCGAGCGUUGUCCGGAAUUAUUGGGCGUAAAGGGCUCGUAGGCGGUUUGUCGCGUCGGGAGUGAAAGCCAUGGGCUUAACUCAUGGCUUGCUUUCGAUACGGGCAGACUAGAGGUAUGCAGGGGAGAAUGGAAUUCCUGGUGUAGCGGUGAAAUGCGCAGAUAUCAGGAGGAACACCGGUGGCGAAGGCGGUUCUCUGGGCAUUACCUGACGCUGAGGAGCGAAAGUGUGGGGAGCGAACAGG